CAGGCCCUUUCCUCUUCCACCCCCACCAGGUCACCUGGUCCUUGGGAGUGUGGUUAGGAGAGGGGAAAGCCGCAGGCCAGAUUUGGUCCCAUUUCCAACUCCUCCCCUAACCCCUUGGCACUGCAGUAUCACAAUGGGAGGGCACCAGCAAACGGGUGUGGUCCCAAGGUGAGCCUAAGUCCACAACUGAGGACCAGGGAGCAGAACCCAGUCUCGGGCAUCUAGCUAGGGUAGACUCAUCCAGCGCAUCUGUACCUGAAGGCAGGCAGGAUGGCAGGCGACACCACCUAGCUCCCACCGUCGGGCAUGGGGCUGCAGCCAUUUCCAGCCUGCUCAGAGGGCAAAGUUCAACCAUCUCCCCCUCCCCAGCAGAAGAGAGAGGAAACAGGUGCUUCAGCUGUUGUUUAUUGACAUACAGGUAGGCUCUAUAGCAACAGGCCUGGAGGCGCUGCAGUAGUGGGGGAAAAUGGAAGGUGGAGUGUUUGUCACAGGACAGCUGAGUGGAGGGUGGGGACAGGUGUGAACUGGGGAGGCCCAGGGGGUUGGGGAAGCAAGGGUCAGGGCCAGAGUUGGCUUAAAUGGAACAACUGCUCUGUGCGCUAAGGCCCCUAACUCUCGCUGGCUGUUUCCUGCCCCCAGACCAGGGUUGGGAGUCCUCUGAGCAUCCAUUUUCUAAAGGAACUGAACGGAGUACACACAGGAAAGGAAGCUGGCACCCUCUUGCCAUCUGGCUCCUAGGGCCUCCAGUCCGGCAUUCCUCCUUCUUCCCUUGACUGGGUGGGGCCACAUGAUGGGCAGCCAGGCUCUGGGCUGUCCCACCAGAGCAGGGAGUAAACACAGCCAUGUUUCA